rfam:Felis catus isolate Cinnamon breed Abyssinian chromosome F1, whole genome shotgun sequence.
GCCUGGGUGGCUCCAUUGGUUAAGCAUCUGACUUCAGCUCAGGUCAUGAUCUCACAGUUCGUGGGUUCGAGCCCCGCGUCGGGCU